rnacentral:tRNA from 1 species
AAAAAUGGAGAAUAACCGCCCUCCCUAAGACU